rnacentral:rRNA from 1 species
UACGAAGGGGGCUAGCGUUGCUCGGAAUCACUGGGCGUAAAGCGCACGUAGGCGGACUCUUAAGUCGGUGGUGAAAUCCUGGAGCUCAACUCCAGAACUGCCUCCGAUACUGGGAGCCUUCGAGUCCGGGAGAGGUGAGUGGAACUGCGAGUGUAGAGGUGAAAUUCGUAGAUAUUCGCAAGAACACCAGUGGCGAAAGCGGCUCACUGGCCCGGUACUGACGCUGAGGUGCGAAAGCGUGGGGAGCAAACAGG